rnacentral:rRNA from 1 species
GACGAACGCUGGCGGCGUGCUUAACACAUGCAAGUCGAACGGAAAGGCCCUGCUUUUGUGGGGUGCUCGAGUGGCGAACGGGUGAGUAACACGUGAGUAACCUGCCCUUGACUUUGGGAUAACGUCAGGAAACUGGGGCUAAUACCGGAUAUGAGCUCCUGCUGCAUGGUGGGGGUUGGAAAGUUUCGGCGGUUGGGGAUGGACUCGCGGCUUAUCAGCUUGUUGGUGGGGUAGUGGCUUACCAAGGCUUUGACGGGUAGCCGGCCUGAGAGGGUGACCGGCCACAUUGGGACUGAGAUACGGCCCAGACUCCUACGGGAGGCAGCAGUGGGGAAUAUUGCACAAUGGGCGGAAGCCUGAUGCAGCAAUGCCGUGUGCGGGAUGACGGCCUUCGGGUUGUAAACCGCUUUCGCCUGUGACGAAGCGUGAGUGACGGUAAUGGGUAAAGAAGCACCGGCUAACUACGUG